GAUGAACGCUAGCGGCAGGCUUAAUACAUGCAAGUCGAGGGGCAGCAUGGCUGUAGCAAUACAGCUGAUGGCGACCGGCAAACGGGUGCGGAACACGUACACAACUUACCCAGAACUGGGGCAUAGCCCUCCGAAAGGAGGAUUAAUACCCCAUAGGAUCGUAGAGUGGCAUCACUUAGCGAUUAAAGCUCCGGCGGUUUUGGAUGGGUGUGCGGCUGAUUAGGUAGUUGUCGGGGUAACGGCCCACCAAGCCUGCGAUCAGUAACUGGUGUGAGAGCACGACCAGUCACACGGGCACUGAGACACGGGCCCGACUACUACGGGCGGCAGCAGUAAGGAAUAUUGGUCAAUGGACGCAAGUCUGAACCAGCCAUGCCGCGGGAAGGAUGAAGGUCCUCUGGAUGGUAAACUUCUUUUAUAGGGGACGAAAUCUGUUAUUCUUGACAGUCUGACGGUACCCUAGGAAUAAGCACCGGCUAACUCCGUGCCAGCCGCCGCGGUAAGAC
rnacentral:rRNA from 1 species